CGAGAACCUGUUGCUGUAGAUUAUUAUUUAAUACAUGUAAAAGACCUUUUAAUUUUUUUACGAAAUGUUUUAAUAAAUAAUAGUAAUAAAUUUAAAAAAAAAGACGGUCAAGAUGUACCAAAUCGGUGCACCAACGGUUACAUAGCUAAAUACACAAUUAAACAGAAUGAAAAGAUUGAAAUAUGUAAAGAAAAUAAUGAACAAAGACUGCAAACAUUUCACAUGUUAUUUAAUUUAUCAUAUCCAAAACACUUAUCAAAAAAAUUAAGCUAUUUAAUUUCACAAUUUACAUUAGUAAAAUGUCCUUUACAUAGUAUUUAUAUAGAUAUAUAUAUUUUAUAUAAUUCAAAAAAUUUAAUUAAAAUAUUAAUACUAAUAGAUCAAUUAUUUUCAUCUCUUUUUCCGUACUAUUAUUUUUUUGAAUUGAAAUUAAAAAUUCUUUUAUUACUUUUAUAUAAACAGUACAGUAAACAAAAAAUAACAUUACCCGACACAUAUUCAUAUCAAAUAAAUAAUUUUAGUAUAAACACAAGUAAAGAAAUGAGCAAAACUGUUAAAUCUUUAAAUAGGAAAAUUAGUGACAAAAAAUAUGAUGAGUAUAUUUUUACAAACGAAAGUAGUAAAAAUAGUAUAAACAGUUAUAUAAAUAAUUAUAAUGUGAAUAACAUAUGUAAUAACAGCAUUGAUAAUACUACCGGUUAUAUAAGACCACUUUUAAACGAAAUGAGUGUUGCUUUAGUUAAUGACAAUAUUGAAUUUUUGAAGGAAAAUAUUAAAAAAAAUAAAUAUGAAAAUAGUAGUGAUAGUGAAAAUAGUUUAUGUAGUAGUAACAGCUGUUAUUCACAUAUAAUAAAUAAUCCUACACUUAUUGAAAACAUUUAUAAAACUGAUAAGACUAAAAAAACUAAUAAAUUCAGUAAAACCAAUAAAUUCAGUAAAACCAAUAAAAUUAAUAAAACCAAUAAAAUUAAUAAAACCGAUUCAGUUGAUAAUAGAAUUAGUAAUUUUUAUAACAAUGAGGGUCAGUAUGAUGAUUCAUACGAUGGUCAGUACAACAAUAGUAACUUUUAUAACUCAAUGGAAUAUAAUAAUUUACAGAGUAGUCUGAAUAAUUAUUCUAUUGAACAUGAUAUUUAUGACAAUGACAAUGACAAUGACAAUG
rnacentral:lncRNA from 1 species